GAGUUUGAUCCUGGCUCAGGAUUAACGCUGGCGGCGUGCCUAAUACAUGCAAGUCGAACGGAAGUACCUUCGGGUACUUUAGUGGCGAACGGGUGAGUAAUACAUAGGUAACCUACCCUUAAGACGAGGAUAGCCAUUGGAAACGAUGGAUAAAACUGGAUAGGAUAUAGAGGAAGAAUCUUUUAUAUUUAAAAGAGAGAUCUGCUUAAGGAGGGGCCUGUGGCGCAUUAGCUAGUUGGUGGGGUAAGGGCCUACCAAGGCGAUGAUGCGUAGCCGGACUGAGAGGUUGAACGGCCACAAUGGAACUGAGAACGGUCCAUACUCCUACGGGAGGCAGCAGUAGGGAAUUUUCGGCAAUGGGGGGAACCCUGACCGAGCAACGCCGCGUGAACGAAGAAGUUAUUCGUAGAGUAAAGUUCUUUAUCAGGGAAGAAAGAGAAUUGACGGUA
rnacentral:rRNA from 1 species